UUUGUGGCCAAUUCCAAUCUGAUAGCUAUCUAUCUCUAGCUUGUUGUUUCUUCUGACUGCAAUCCACAACCUUUCUGAUUUACUACUAGCUAGCUCUCUUUCCAUCAGUCUUUACUCUUUGAUCUCUUGUCCUGGCAGGCAGUGCUGUGCUGUCAGAUACAUAUGUCUCCAUAUCCAUUUUACCUCAGAAUAUGUAAUGCAAGUAACUCUGAUGUAACUCUGCUUGCAAAGCUUUGCUUCUUGUUGCUGUAAGUCUGAAACUUGCUUUGUUUGGACUGGUAAACUGCAUGUUAGACACAAAAAAACAGUUGUGGGAACAGCAAGACCGGUUAUUGCUUUCCUCCUUUUUGUUUCACUUUUCACAGUUCAGGAACCUUGUAAGCUGAUAUAUCUGAGACAAUGUUACAGAUGUUAAUGCCAAGGGCUUUACAUUGUUUUGCCAAUGAAGUUCAGCAGAUGCACUUUUUUUUUCAGAACUCACCUAACAAGUUUUACUGUAGUUUCCAAUUCAGCAAAUCAAAUUACUUUCCUAUUUAAUUUGUGUGAUAUAUAAUAACUGAUAACUAGUUGCUUUAUUCUACCGAUCAGAUCAUCAGAGAGUAAAAACAAAGCAAAUCUAUAUAUACAGCAUAGAGAUGAUUUAAUGUAUGAUGUAUAUACAACCAUGUGACACUCCACAUACACUGUCCAGUUUCUGUUUGUCACAUAGGAUGCAGAGAUAAUGGCUAAGUACUCACCAGCAGCAGCCUCCUAUUAAUUCAGCACAGUCCUUUCAGUUGCUCUCAUGGGGCCCCUAUCUCUUCCUCACAUAAUGUGAUGCAUCAUGCUUGCUGCCAACCCUCUCUCCACUCACUCCACCGUCCAUACAUCCCCAUCACCGGCUCUGGGCCACCGCCGCGGUGCGGUGCACGAUGAUGGCCGAUCGUUGUACCGCCGUUGUUGUUUUCAACUGGCCGAUCGAUGAAGAUCUACCCUUACCUGUCGAAAUUGGGGGGGCGAUUCGCGCAUCGUGAUUUUUCGCACGGUGAACUUGAGACUUACAUGUGUCACAUUGUGGAGCUAGCUACCAUGCAUUUCCAUGAGAGGUUAGUUCCUGCAUUGGCACUGUCUCAAGAUAGGUUGGUGUAAUGGAUCUAUCAGAGUUGGGACAUGAUCCUAGAUGUGUUGUCACUAUGCAGCAUUCCUGUUGCUAUACUAGCAAGUAUAUAUGAAUUAUGUCCAAAUUAAAGUUGCAGCGAAGGUUUGGACGUUUUGGUGAACAUUUUGUAACUGCACUUGGCAAGGUAGUAUUGAAAUUCCAUUCCUGGUGGAAUGGUGUAAGAAAUAAAUUUUGUUUGGAAAGGUUGUGAAUUUUUGCAAGCAUAUAUAACUGCUUCUAGUGUUAUUGUCUACCUGACUUUUGCAGAGCUACCUUUCCAGUAUAUGCAUAAGGAGAAAAGCAAUGAGGAACGGUUAGAAAUGGCCAGAAUUAUUCAGCCAAAUGGAGGCAGCUCUGAUUUUGGUUUCUGCAAGAACACUUGCCAAAGUCUCAUGCCACUAGAUCCUUGUUGCUGUAUAUGACAAUUUGCUAGUAUGUACCAAAAUUCAGUACCUAAAAAGAACAAUAAACUAACUCUUAGCUAGGAUUCACUGAAAAAAUUAUAGUAGCUAAAUUAGGAGUUUAUGACAGAGAAGAAAAGGCAUGGAAAAACAAAGAAGAAAAAUAAUUCUAUGUGGAAUCAAAUCAACUUACCUGUAGCUUGCAAGAAUGGAUCAAAUCAGAGAAAAGGCUCUCCUUCUACAUUUGGCACAGGCCAGAAGGACUGAAAAGUACUCCACACUGAUUGAACCUUGGUGAUAUGAAACCUAAACGUCCAAUCAAACAGUGGAGAUUGAGGUGGUUGACUUGGGCAAACUUGCUAUAUUAAUUGCAGGUACCUCUGGAACAAUGGAAGAUAUUUUGGGUUCUUGUCUACAAAUCUGAAGCCCAUUAGACACGAAUUAGAGUUUAAUUUGCCUAGUUAUGAUGUAAAUUGAACUAUUAGGAGUAAAAUGAAAGCUCAUGCUAUGAUUUUUAACUUAGCUGAGGAAACCAUACAGUAUGGAUAGAUUUUACAUACUGGAAUCAACACCAGAUCAGUUGUCAGUGUUUCUGAAACAUGAACAAAUAUAUCAGAAUCUGUGAACUUUCAGACCGCAUAUUGCUGAACUUUUUGGCUACAUUUCUAAUAUUGCACCAAAUAGAACCUAGUCAUAUAGCUUCCUUUCAGAACACAUCAUAUCCAUGAAUGAUAAGCAUUACGCGAUUGAGAUAUUAGAUUAUUUAAUUUGGUUAAUAUCUCUAGUACCUUAAUUAAAUAUGGGUUUUGUGUGAUCUGUAUUCCAAAUUAAGAUGAUACAUAUAUAGUUUUUCAUAGGCAUAUUGAAUUUCUCUCUUUUCGAAAUAAUAGGCCUAUUGAGUUUGAAUUCCAUGUGGCAUAAGUAGAUUUCUUUUGAAGUACCUGUAUUUUGUACACUUGCUCGUUUUCCACCUGCUGUCACUGAAGUUGUUGAAGCUUUAACUGGGAUGCUAAUCCAACCGAAAGUUAACAAAAAGGUUGCAGUGUGCUCUGAAUUGAUUUAGCAAAAAAAAGUUGCAAUGCAUGCUCUGAAUUUAACACACAGUAAUUAGAUCAGUAUGUGUUUUCUAUCAGUUUAUGACAGCACAUUAAUUUCGGGAGGGCGAAUUUACUACUACAUUCUGAUGAAAUAAACCGUCAUUCAUGGUUGAGAAGAAGGGCAGGCUCCAGGUCUUUGAGCCCCAGCUGGGGCUCACCACAGCAGCUUUGAGCCAAUUAUUAGAGCACUGUGCUAUCCUGUGGUGAUCCAGGCACAACGUAGUGUUCUUCGGAUGGUAACGCAGGGCUAGUUCCUGAUUGGCAAGGCAUGGGGUUUGCUGCAGCUUCAGAAAUGAUUGCUAGCUAGCUUGUCAGGUAAGUGGCCACAUGAAUGACACUGAACUUGCUUGUUAACUGGGAAUUAAUAUUCUGGUAUUAGUUUCAUAAAUUUGCAGUUAUAAGUACCAGAUUCUAUAAAAUCAGGGAAAAAAAUCACAGUUUAUAAUCAGGCAGAAAUAUUGUCAUCUAGGAGAAGAGUGUUGAGUUGUGAUCCAAAUUCAUUUGCACUUAAUAAAGGCCAGCUUCUGCCGUAGCGGAGCGGAGGCCCGUCGCCGGGAGGCUUGGGCCAGAGCAUAGGGUUCCACCGUAUAUAUACCUCUUGUAAGCCGUCGUGUGGCGAUGUAACCUCACUCCAGAUAUAGUGAAUAUAUUUUGCUGGCUGGCGCCCGUGGUUUUUUCUCUCCUGUUUUGGGAGGGUUUUCCACGUUAAAUCUCGUGUCUUUUGUGAUUGAUCUAUUGUUAUUUAUCGUUUGUUCGCUUAUCGUUUUCUAACAAAGAGUAAGACAUGAAAAUGAAAUUAGGAUUCUGCUGUUUUACUUUGAGGCUUUGGAUUAUUCAGGUACGUGUUG
rnacentral:sRNA from 1 species